ACGCCUUAUACAUGCAAGUCGAACGGAGUAGCAAUACUUAGUGGCAGACGGGUGAGUAACAUGUGGGAAUCUUCCCUUUGGUGAGGAAUAACACGAGGAAACUUGUGCUAAUACCUCAUAAGUCUUUACGGAGAAAGCUUUAUGCGCCAAAGGAUGAGCCUGCACUUGAUUAGUUUGUUGGUGGGGUAAUGGCCCACCAAGACUGUGAUCAAUAGCUGAUCUGAGAGGAUGAUCAGCCACAUUGGGACUGAGACACGGCCCAAACUCCUACGGGAGGCAGCAGUAAGGAAUCUUGCACAAUGGAGGAAACUCUGAUGCAGCGAUGCCGCGUGAGUGAAGAAGGCCUUUGGGUUGUAAAGCUCUUUCGUCGGGGAAGAAAAUGACGGUACCCGAAUAAGAAGGUCCGGCUAACUUCGUGCCAGCAGCCGCGGUAAUACGAAGGGACCUAGCGUAGUUCGGAAUUACUGGGCUUAAAGAGUUCGUAGGUUGUUAAAAAAGUUGGUGGUGAAAUCCCAGAGCUUAACUCUGGAACUGCCAUCAAAACUUUUUAGCUAGAGUUUGAUAGAGGAAAGCAGAAUUUCUAGUGUAGAGGUGAAAUUCGUAGAUAUUAGAAAGAAUACCAAUUGCGAAGGCAGCUUUCUGGAUCAUUACUGACACUGAGGAACGAAAGCAUGGGUAGCGAAGAGGAUUAGAUACCCUCGUAGUCCAUGCUGUAAACGAUGUGUGUUAGACGUUGGAAAUUUAUUUUCAGUGUCGCAGCGAAAGCAUUAAACACACCGCCUGGGGAGU
rnacentral:rRNA from 1 species